rnacentral:lncRNA from 1 species
CAUGUCCGUGGAACAAGUCUAUCAUACAGGAAAACUAAUUUGAAUCCCAUCUGAAUGUUGGAUGACAUAUAUCAAGAUGGCACUGAACAAGACAUAACUGAAGAAAAGGGAUGUGAGAGAAUCCAAUCUAACAUUUAAAAAUAAAUAUACAUUUAUAUUAUU